UCCUACGGGGGGCAGCAGUGGGGAAUAUUGCACAAUGGGGGAAACCCUGAUGCAGCGACGCCGCGUGAGUGAAGAAGUAUUUCGGUAUGUAAAGCUCUAUCAGCAGGGAAGAAAAUGACGGUACCUGGCCAAGAAGCCCCGGCUAACUACGUGCCAGCAGCCGCGGUAAUACGUAGGGGGCAAGCGUUAUCCGGAUUUACUGGGUGUAAAGGGAGCGUAGACGGUUGUGCAAGUCAGAAGUGAAAGCCCGGGGCUCAACUCCGGGACUGCUUUUGGAACUGUGAAACUG
rnacentral:rRNA from 1 species